GAUUUUCACUGAUUACAAGCGACUGAUUUCGUUGUCGCGGGGAAAAAUAUUUUUUCCAUGACAAAUAGUUUUCUAGCGACCGACCGAUUGAAUUAUGCUUUAACUCUCGAUUACCUUCGAUAUUUAGUUUCCACGGUGCUAUAUGGUCUGCACACCUGAUCGCACGUGCGAACAUUGUAUACGGUGUAAAAUUUCAAACGAGAACCUGUACCUCUACCGAGACGAGAAGAUAGAACACAUCUUAACUCGUUUAAGAUCAAAGUAUUUUUUAAUUAAAUAAGAUUGUUCUCAGUAAUCGUUAAACUGGAGGAAAUAAUUGUCUUAUAAUCAUUUCUUCUCAUAACGAAAUGAAAUACCGUUUAUGGAGGGUUAAUAUUGCGUUAGUCUUCCUUUCUUUUCAGUUACGUCAGUCAUAAAUCGUAAUAAAAGAUUAUACAAUCUUAUUGUCUUGCGUACCAUUCUGUCUGUUCUCAAAGCCUUUCAAGUACUUUUAAUGGCUUCCCUUAACUCCAAACCCUCCAAUUCCCAUAGAUAGAUAGAAACGUAUUAAUUUCAUAAUGACGGUCGUAUAAAGCUCCAAUUACGAUCUUACCUUAAACAUAUAUCUCUUCUAUGUAUUAAAAACACUGGAACAAGUAUAAAAUGGAUAACAAAGGGAAACAUACAGUAGAACAAAGAUACAAUCUAUAAAUGUAUUUACGACUUGAAACUAGUUUAUCAACAAGAAGUUUCGAAAAAUCAGGUGGAUGUUUGCUCCCGAUAAUGAAAAACGAGAGAAACAACGUCACCCAUAAUUCGCCUGCUUCAUUCGCCUCAUAAUUCGCCUGAAUAUUUUGUAUAACGAUACGACCGAACGAUACAGUUUGAAAAUUUGCGAAACAGGUUUUGUCAUGUUGCGCGAACGUUUGUUAUGAUACGUUCAGAUUAUAUUCCAUGCACGACAAUAAAAAUGGAAACUUAUCCUCGUCACUCGACACUAGUUGCUCCUAUAAAACUUUCCUCCCAAUCUAAAAUAAAAUUAUAUCUUCGAACAUAUUAUUAAAUACUUGAAAAAAUGCUAGUGAAUGUAUAAGAUAAAAUACAUUUUCGCGAACAUAACGAAGGAAAGUGACACGAUUAAAAAAUUCCUAAAUCAAACAGCUAACUUUAUAAAAUAGAUAUCAAUGGAUACCAAUAGACGCAGAAGAUGCUGAAGUGGUUCUAAAGCGAAGAACUAUCAAUUCACCUUUUAACGUCAUCCUUUCCAUUUGAAGGGAGCGAUUCAAGCGCUCCGUUCAGCCAAUAAUUUGCAUAAACACGGUUUUCGCAGAAACAACACGAGAAGAAAAGAAAAUCUGUGUACGUGGAGGAUGUAUUUUCAUCUUUAAUCUCUUCGAUGGCCUCGUCACCUUUUCCCGCGAGCAUAGAUCACUAUAGACGUCGUUGUUAAAUCCACGACAAAUGCGAGGAGUUCAACUUCGACUAAUUGAAACACUGCUGUAAUUGCAUCCUCGAUAAUCGAUUCAAUUUUUUUUUUUUUUGGCAAAUUAUACCCAAGGACCGAAAGAGAAAGAUAUAACAAGCAUCGAUAGGAUAACAAGAUAAAACGACGAAGAACUGAAUUUUAAAAACGCCGUUCCGUAAAACAUGGAUAAUACGAAUUAUCGUAUUGUUCAUCUUCAUAGUCUUCACAUGGGAUUAUUCGAUGAAAAGUUAUUAAACUCGCCAUAUUUUCCCAACAGUUGCCGAUUUCUCUAAAAUCUCUGGACACUGUUAGAAAUGUUUAACAUACAAAACACGAGAAAAAAGAAACGCGAAUAAAACAAUUAACUUACGUGGAAAUUUCGACGGGGACAGUUUAAUUACACGGUUGGUGUACCUGAUGCUUUGUGAUUAUGGAAAUUGCUUGCUCUACGCUGUAAUCAAAGGAGAUUACAACAAUGAGUCGCGUUCAUUUAAGACGCGUUGCAUUACUCCGGACCGGAACUUCUCCACGACGAAACUUAUUAUCGUCAGGAUGUUAAUAAAAAUAAGGAAGGCUCAGAUACACAAUUAAAAAUGUGUUCACUGGGCAAAAAAAAAAAAAUAUAGACAAACUCGAAGAUGGUAUCCCGCUGGGGGUAACCAUCCACAUGUUAUUUAGCAAUAAAGCUAGAAAAACUUACCGAACGUCCAGCUGGACGAAUUGUAAAGUACAAAUUAAAUAAAAGAAAAAAUCGUUUCGUCGAUUUUUAUUACAAUCUUUUAAUUAAUUAAGAAUUUCUGAUCCAUAGUGUACUAAUGACAAAAUGUCAAAUUUCAACAUUUGCAUUUUUCCCUCGUGAUCCUUCUUCCGUUAAUCGAUUCGGUACCAAAUUACAGCUUCUUCAUAUUCGGUUGGCAACUAAGUGAUUGCGGAUUUUGUCAUUACCACCUAAUGAUAUUAUCCGCAAUCACUUAGUUGCCAACCCAACAGUAGGAAAUGUUAUAGCAGCAGAAGAGAAAAGAGAAAUGUAGAUUCGAUAUGAAAGAAACGAGAUUAAAAAUAGAGUUUCAUAUUCUCCCCUCUGUUAUCGUUUAUCGUUUAUUCGUUCGAUACCAAAUGACAGCUUAAUAGCCACGGAUAAUCUUACAGGACAAAAAGAAAAAAGAAAAAAAUAGAAAAAAUAGGAAAAAUAACGCAGAUACGAGAGGCUACAGUUUUAAUGUACCUAAUCUUCGGUGUUACGAGUUUCUUAAAAUAGUAGCAUCUUUUCUCGAAAGCCCGUGACUCUGUUCGUUCUGUUGCUCUCUCAGCACGCGGAUCGCGUGCACCAGGACGCACGUGACGAGUCUGCAAAUGCCUCGUCUUCGCAUCUCACAGUUGGGGACUUGCCUUUUUUUCCUCCCAGCCUCUUUUACGCGCGUCGCAAGAAACUUCAAGCGGCUUCUGUUUUUGUGCGAUCCUCUCGUGAUGUAUGCCACCACAGAUUGUCGUGUAUUCAUAAAGCUAACCAGGGACGCUCGAUUACACUUUCGAGCAGAGAAAAAAUUACAGAAGGGAACGAGCGAAGCAAAAGUUUUUCCAUUUGCCCACACACAACGUGGUAAACGUAUAUACUGUUUUCUAAUUCUUUUUACACUUCCAGCUUCAAUAUAAAAUAGUUACGUUUAACGGUUCAACUUUUUCCUGGAAUAAUCGUCGUGGCGGAAGAUAUCGGGAACGAGAUAAUCUUCACUGGAAAUCGUAACUUGUAUUUAUCCUUUUCUUCUCUUAACACAAACAGAUUAACUUUUGAUUCUAGAAUAAACACACGGAGAAAUGUAAAUGAACAUAGUAAUCAAACCGAUCUUUUUCAACUGGAAUUUAGAGUUACAAAUCAUUUGCAGUUCAAUCGCGUGUAUGUUUUAAACAUUACGUGAAAUGGAAUUUUCCGGAUGAAUAAUAUUCUGUAUGGAGUCUACGUCGUUGCCGUCAAGGUCAAACAUAAAAUGCACGCCUGUCAUUUCCUGAUUAAGCUAGUAAUUCAAUAUAACCCAACGCUAUUUAAAUAUUUAUAUGCCACACAUGAAUGUGCUGAAACAGAUUUUAUUACCAAUUAUGGAUUGAAAAUGGAAAAACUCAUCGUUCCAUAAACAUUGCUGUUAACGACUACUAAUGUCAUAAUUAAUCUAAAUUAUCAGGAAAACGACCAAUCAAUCAGAGUUUUGUGUUGGUGCAAGAGUAAAAUACGGUGGCGGAUAAAAGAAAAUUUGUGAUCUAUACUCCCAUAUAAUAACUAUACUAUAUGCAUAAUUUGUUUCAGAUUUUACCAAUACACUCAUCGUACAUCAGCUGGUUGCUGAAGCGUGCAAAACUCUCAUAGAAAGAAGACUAAAAAGAAAACACUCCACUGAC